rnacentral:rRNA from 1 species
CGCAGCAGUGAGACGGCGGGGGAUAAGCUUCGUCGUCGAGAGGGAAACAGCCCAGACCGGCAGCUAAGGUGCCUAAAUAGUGCUCAGUGGAAAGGAGGUGAGGUUUCAUAGACAGUGAGGAUGUUGGCUUAGAAGCAGCCACCAUUUAAAAAAUGCGUAAUAGCUUACUCAUCGAGAGACCUUGCGCCGAAAAUACUUGGCGAUAAGCACUAUACCGAAGCUCCGGGUGUCAUAUUUAACUAUAUGGCGCGGUAGAGGAGCAUUCUCUAGACAGUGAAGGGUGAUGGUGACUGACCCUGGAGUGUAGAGAAGUGAGAAUGCAGACAUGAGUAACGAUAAGGCCGGUGAAAUCCCGGCCCGCCGUAAAUCCAAGGUUUCCCGGGCAACGUUUUUCGUCCCGGGGUUAGUCGGGACCUAACCCGAGGCCGAAGGGCGUAGGGGAUGGAAAGCAGGUUAAUAUUCCUGCACCCAGUUAGGAGGACGCAUGAUCAAAAGCUACUAAGUUAUUGAAUUCUGAGGUGAUACUACGGUUGAUCCGCAUAGCUAGAGAGAGUGCCAAGAAAAGUCCUAACAUUAAUGGCCCGUACCGUAAACCGACACAGGUGGAUGGGUAGAAUAUACCAAGGCGCAAGAGUGAAACCUAGUCAAGGAACUCGGCAAAAUAGCCCCGUAACUUCGGAAGAAGGGGUGCCUAUUUUUUAAUAGGCCGCAGUGAAAUGGCCCAACCGACUGUUUAGCAAAAACACAGCAUUGUGCUAAGACGUAAGUCGACGUAUACGAUGUGACACGUGACCAAUGCCAAAAGAUUACGGUAAGGUGUUAGCCCUCGUGGCAAAGCUCCAAGCCCAAGUCCUGGUGAAUGUCGGCCGUAACUAUAACGGUCCUAAGGUAGCGAAAUUCCUUGUCGGGUAAGUUCCGACCUGCACGAAUCGUGCAACGAGUUGGGCGCUGUCUCGACUAGAUGCUCAGUGAAAUUGUAGUGCCGGUGAAGAUGCCGGCUACCCGCAGAAAGACGGAAAGACCCUAUAGACCUUAACUGUAAGCUGUUACUGGUUAUUCGAUUUUAAUGCUCAGCAUAAGUGGGAGACGUUGAAGCGUGUUUUUAGGAACAUGUGGAGUCAUCAGUGAGAUACCACCCUUUAACAUUGGAUGAUCUAACCCUAAGCCGUCAUCCGGCUAGGGGACCGUGGCAGCCGGUCAGUUUUACUGGGGCGGUAUCCUCCUAAAGAGUAACGGAGGAGCGCGAAGUUUGGCUCAGCACAGUUGGUAACUGUGUGUUGAGUGUAAAGGCAUAAGCCAGACUAACUGUGAGACCUACAAGUCGAGCAGAUACGAAAGUAGGCCUUAGUGAUCCGGCGGUUGAAUGUGGAAUUGCCGUCGCUCAACGGAUAAAAGGUACCUUAGGGAUAACAGGCUUAUUUCGCCCAAGAGUUCAUAUCGACGGCGAAGUUUGGCACCUCGAUGUCGGCUCGUCGCAUCCUGGGGCUGGAGAAGGUCCCAAGGGUCCGGCUGUUCGCCGGUUAAAGCGGCACGCGAGCUGGGUUCAGAACGUCGCGAGACAGUUCGGUCCUCUAUCUUCUGUGGGCGUAGGAAAAUUGAUGGGUUCAGAUCCUAGUACGAGAGGACCGGAUCUGACGCACCUCUGGUGUUCCAGUUGUUCUGUCAAGGGCAUUGCUGGGUAGCUAAGUGCGGCACGGAUAAGCGCUGAAAGCAUCUAAGCGCCAAGCCAUUCCAGAGAUUAAUUUUCCCUGAAGGAUCGUGGAAGACCACCACGUUGAUAGGCUGAGGGUAUAAGUGCAGUAAUGUAUGUAGCUCAUCAGUACUAAUCAUCCGUUCGACUUAAUUCC